CUCAGUAAACCAGAGGUACAUCACAGCACCAGUUAUAACCCUGUCAAAAACAAACACUCAGGAAACCAGAGGUACAUCACAGCACCAGUUAUAACCCUGUCAAAAACAAACACUCAGGAAACCAGAGGUACAUCACAGCACCAGUUAUAACCCUGUCAAAAACAAACUCAGUAAACCAGAGGUACAUCACAGCACCAGUUAUAACCCUGUCAAAAACAAACUCAGUAAACCAGAGGUACAUCACAGCACCAGUUAUAACCCUGUCAAAAACAAACACUCAGUAAAUCUAGGAACAAGACACAAAGUGCAAGUCUUGCGAAACUAACACAUCACAUCAUGCAAACAGGACAAAGUAAACAUUUUGGUUAAAAAAAAAAUAUAUAUAUAUAAUUGGCAGUAUUUAAAAAAAGGAUAGACAUCUUAGGACAAACAGUCAAAAGAGUUAUGCUGUGGCUCUUUGGACGCACGGCUUGAUGAAUGACCUUUGCACUGAAGGGAUUGGGUACAUUGUCACAUUUCAUUAUGAAAAAACAGGAGAAUACCAGGACACUGGUUUGUCUGUUUAAACGUAGCAGUGACUCUGACCACGGUCCAUCCUCAUCAGGCUAACUGGUGUACAUCAAGUCCUUAGAGGAUGAAACAUG